GAGGAUAGAGCUCAGUGGUAGAGUGCAUGCUUAGCAUGCAGGAAGUCCUGGGUUCAAUCCCCGGUACCUCCA
rfam:Camelus ferus unplaced genomic scaffold scaffold938, whole genome shotgun sequence.